AGUGAACGCUGGCGGCAUGCCUUACACAUGCAAGUCGAACGGCAGCACGGGUGCUUGCACCUGGUGGCGAGUGGCGAACGGGUGAGUAAUACAUCGGAACAUGUCCUGUAGUGGGGGAUAGCCCGGCGAAAGCCGGAUUAAUACCGCAUACGAUCUACGGAUGAGAGCGGGGGACCUUCGGCCCUCGCGCUAUAGGGUUGGCCGAUGGCUGAUUAGCUAGUUGGGGGGGUAAAGGCCUACCAAGGCGACGAUCAGUAGCUGGUCUGAGAGGACGACCAGCCACACUGGGACUGAGACACGGCCCAGACUCCUACGGGAGGCAGCAGUGGGGAAUUUUGGACAAUGGGCGAAAGCCUGAUCCAGCAAUGCCGCGUGUGUGAAGAAGGCCUUCGGGUUGUAAAGCACUUUUGUCCGGAAAGAAAUCCUUGGCCCUAAUACGGUCGGGGGAUGACGGUACCGGAAGAAUAAGCACCGGCUAACUACGUG
rnacentral:rRNA from 1 species